AUAGCCAUACGGAAUGGAACGGAACGGAAUCGUUUGGCAAAUGCUGUGCCCAGCUCAAUGCAAUCGCCGGAGGCAGCAGCCAUGGCCGCCGCCGAACCAGCAGAUACUUCAGGGCUUCCAGAUGAUGGUGGUCUCGGCGAUCAUGGAGGUCACCACGUAGGGGUCCAUGUUGGACGCCGGCCGGCGGUCCUCGAAGUAGCCCUUGCCGUUCUGCUCCGUCUCCCGGCCCACGCGCACUGACGCGCCACGGUUGGCGACUCCCUGCACCAGACAACACAAAAAAGAGUUGGCAUUGGCAAACGCCGGGUUCCCUUCGCUACGGCAUAUUCAGGCACAUUAGGGGGGAUGCGGACGUACCCAGCUGAAGGUGUUGAUGUCGGCCGUCUCGUGCUUGCCGGUCAGCCGGCGCUCGUUGCCCUCACCGUAGGCGGCGAUGUGCUCCUUGUGCCGCAGCUUCAGCUUCUCGAUAGCGGCCUUGAUCACCUCGUACCCGCCAUCGUUCCUCAUGGACUUGGU
rnacentral:lncRNA from 1 species